rnacentral:rRNA from 1 species
AAAUUGAAGAGUUUGAUCAUGGCUCAGAUUGAACGCUGGCGGCAGGCCUAACACAUGCAAGUCGAACGGUAACAGGAAACAGCUUGCUGUUUCGCUGACGAGUGGCGGACGGGUGAGUAAUGUCUGGGAAACUGCCUGAUGGAGGGGGAUAACUACUGGAAACGGUAGCUAAUACCGCAUAACGUCGCAAGACCAAAGAGGGGGACCUUCGGGCCUCUUGCCAUCGGAUGUGCCCAGAUGGGAUUAGCUAGUAGGUGGGGUAACGGCUCACCUAGGCGACGAUCCCUAGCUGGUCUGAGAGGAUGACCAGCCACACUGGAACUGAGACACGGUCCAGACUCCUACGGGAGGCAGCAGUGGGGAAUAUUGCACAAUGGGCGCAAGCCUGAUGCAGCCAUGCCGCGUGUAUGAAGAAGGCCUUCGGGUUGUAAAGUACUUUCAGCGGGGAGGAAGGGAGCAAAGUUAAUACCUUUGCUCAUUGACGUUACCCGCAGAAGAAGCACCGGCUAACUCCGUGCCAGCAGCCGCGGUAAUACGGAGGGUGCAAGCGUUAAUCGGAAUUACUGGGCGUAAAGCGCACGCAGGCGGUUUGUUAAGUCAGAUGUGAAAUCCCCGGGCUCAACCUGGGAACUGCAUCUGAUACUGGCAAGCUUGAGUCUC